ACCGAGGACACAAUGCACACAACACAGGACACAAUGCACAACACAGUGCACACAAUGCACACAACACAGGACCCAAUCCACACAUCACAGGGCACACAAUACAGGACACGGUGCCCACAACAUAGGGAACAGCAUACACAACACAGGGCACAGCGCACACAACACAGGACAGAGUGCAAACAACACAGGAAACAGGAAACAGUACACAG